GGUCAAAAUACAAUUUAAAAAAGUUUUACCACGUAGGAUGCUCGGUCAACAGCUCCGACGAACCAAGAUGCACUGCGUGGCAACAGAUGCUGACGCGGUGCCAUGUUGGAGGCCAUGCAGACGAUCCGCAUGCCUGCGAUUGAACAACCCAGAUCCGUUCCUGCGCCCACAGACGACCUAGAUGCGUUCCCUCCCUAAACGUGAU
rnacentral:lncRNA from 1 species